rnacentral:rRNA from 1 species
GAUAUCAAAGAUUUUAUCGCUUGAAGAUGGACUCGCGUCCGAUUAGUUAGUUGGUGAGGUAACGGCUCACCAAGACCGCGAUCGGUAGCCGGACUGAGAGGUUGAACGGCCACAUUGGGACUGAGACACGGCCCAGACUCCUACGGGAGGCAGCAGUGGGGGAUAUUGCGCAAUGGGGGCAACCCUGACGCAGCGACGCCGCGUGAAGGAUGAAGGUUUUCGGAUUGUAAACUUCUUUUAUUAAGGACGAAAAUUGACGGUACUUAAUGAAUAAGCUCCGGCUAACUACGUGCCAGCAGCCGCGGUAAUACGUAGGGAGCAAGCGUUGUCCGGAUUUACUGGGUGUAAAGGGUGCGUAGGCGGCUUUGCAAGUCAGAUGUGAAAUCUAUGGGCUCAACCCAUAAACUGCAUUUGAAACUGUAGAGCUUGAGUGAAGUAGAGGCAGGCGGAAUUCCCCGUGUAGCGGUGAAAUGCGUAGAGAUGGGGAGGAACACCAGUGGCGAAGGCGGCCUGCUGGGCUUUAACUGACGCUGAGGCACGAAAGCGUGGGUAGCAAACAGGAUUAGAUACCCUGGUAGUCCACGCUGUAAACGAUGAUUACUAGGUGUGGGGGGUCUGACCCCUUCCGUGCCGGAGUUAACACAAUAAGU